AAACCUGAGAGUUUGAUCCUGGCUCAGAACGAACGCUGGCGGCAGGCCUAACACAUGCAAGUCGAACGUGAAGCCGCCCUUCGGGGCGGUGGAAAGUGGCGAACGGGUGAGUAACGCGUGGGAACCUGCCCUUUGGUACGGAAUAACCGCUGGAAACGGCGGCUAAUACCGUAUAAGCCCGGUCUCUUUGGCGGAGGCCGGGGAAAGCCUUGUGCGCCGAAGGAGGGGCCCGCGUCCGAUUAGCUUGUUGGUGAGGUAAUGGCUCACCAAGGCUGCGAUCGGUCGCUGGUCUGAGAGGAUGAUCAGCCACACUGGGACUGAGACACGGCCCAGACUCCUACGGGAGGCAGCAGUAAGGAAUCUUGGACAAUGGGGGGAACCCUGAUCCAGCCAUGCCGCGGGGGUGGGGAAGGCGUGCGGGGUGUGUAAAUCUUUUUAUGGUGAAGAUAAAGACUGGAAGCGGAGGAGAAGGCGCGGCUA
rnacentral:rRNA from 1 species